rnacentral:rRNA from 1 species
ACGCUCGACACCUACGGGGGCAGCAGUGGGGAAUAUUGCACAAUGGGGGAAACCCUGAUGCAGCAACGCCGCGUGAAGGAAGAAGUAUUUCGGUAUGUAAACUUCUAUCAGCAGGGAAGAAAAAGAUGACGGUACCUGACUAAGAAGAACCGGCUAAAUACGUGCCUGCAGCCGCGGUAAUCUGAGCGGGCUGGCAAGGC